UUGAUCUUAGUUCAGAUUUAGCAUUAAUUGAGUUUCAAAUGCAUGCAAGAAUGCGUUAUAUAAUAUAAAGCUUCAUCAGGGUGAGUACAAAUCAAGAACUUAAAAAUUAAAAGUAAAAAGUAUAUACUAAAAAGUGUAAAACUAAAUGCUUGAUUCAAGAUUACAAAUUGAGAAAGAAGUAAAUACCUUUCUACUGUACAAUCUUUAGCUAACUUUAACGAGUUUAAGCCACAUUGGAACUGAAACAAGGUCCAACUUAGAAAUUCUAAGCAGCAGCAUAAAGCUUUAUGCAAUGAGUUAAAAACUUGACAUAGAAAUUCAAUGUAUUGAAUGAAAGCUCUAGUGAUAUGUUUUGUAGCUUUAAAACAUAUAUUAGUAAAAAAAUUAAAUUGAAUUUUCUUAAAAGUUUUAGCCAAUUUUGUGCCAGCAGCUGCGGUAAUACAAAAAAAACAAAUGCUAAUCUAAUAUACUUGGUGUAAAGCACUAACAAAUUGAAAUAGUUAUAGCAUUAAUCAAAUUGAAUUUAAUAGUUCAAAUUAUAAAGCAUAUAUUAAUUUCUUGAGCUUAUAUAAGUAAUAAUAAUAGAAGCAACAGAGUAGCGAUGAAA
rnacentral:rRNA from 1 species